GCAUGAGACGUUGUACGCUACCAGCUUUGGUUGAUGGAACUUGAAGAAUUGAAACUAAGUUUGAAAGAGAAAUUGGUUGGCCAUGAUUGUGGAUUAUGUUUGGUAUGUUCAUCUCAACACACCAUUUAAGACACAUGGAAUCUAUGAAGGCGUAUAUGUGUUUGUAUAAUUGAGCUUGUGCUUUGAAAAUUUCACUUGGUUUACGGCUAUUAAUUGAUGAAGCCAUUGUUUUGUGGAAGUGAGUUUUUGGUUUGUGUGUACUUGUGAUGUUUCAGAAUUUGAUUUGCUUUAUAUAAGCUUUCAACUUUCAACACCGUGUGUCAGCAAGAGUUGUAAAAGUCAUAUAAUUGGAACACAUUAUAUGACUAUUGAUUUCAUAUUAAAAAAACAGAGUAAGUCAUAUAAUUAUAACACAUUAUAUGACUAUUGACUUCAUAUUAAAAAAACAAACAAAGUCAUAUAACUUCACUAUCAAAGAGAUUUCUAAAUUUAUUUUUUUAUACUUGUAUGGAAUUGUAUAGGUUGUGCCGUUAAGGCAACUAAUUUGAUAGCUAUGUAGUGACACCAGAUGCAUGACUGUGACUUCGAACAUUAAUCUCGAUAGGGAUAGUUUGAUAUUUUGAUAGGAGUUGUGCAUGUUGUAGUGAAAGUCUGUUCAAACAUUUUGUCGAAAUAUGUUAACUUGUACUCUAAGUUAGUAUGUCAAAUUGGACCUUUGUUUAGGCCCAAUUAUUUAAGUUAGCUUGUACAUCAAGUUAGCUUAGUAGUCUAUAAAUAAGUCAGUUCUCUCAGGUUGUUGGGAGAGGUUAGUUGUUGGUAUUCACUUGUAAUCUUUAACCAUCACUACUACGAAAAAUACACAUCACGACGAUUAGAAAAGGGAUAACUCCACGUUGGACCAACCGAUGUGAGGUCAGAUGUGAUUGUAUGUAUGAUGCUUUCCACCAUGGUCGUAUGACUGUGAUUAUAAGUCCAGUAGUGCGCUACCUACCAUACCGGUUACUUUAAACAACCUUUGUUGUAUGUCUCAAAAUCACAAUAGUUACUUUAAACAAUCGUUAUUGUAUGUCUUUUAAUAAAAUAAAAUAAAAAUGCAGCAGUAGAACAACAACAACAAUAGAAAGAACAACAACAAUAACUACUACUACUACUACUACAACAAAAACAAAAAGAACAACAACAAAAAAAUAAUAAUAAUAAAAAGAAUAAGAAAAACAAGAGUAACAACAACAACAAUAAUAACAACAAGAACAACAAUAAGAACAACAACAAGAACAACAAUAAUAACAACAACAACAACAACAACAAAAACAACGAAAAAGAACAACAAGGGCAAUAUCAAGAACAACAACAACUAACAUUGCUAACUUGAAUCCAUGUUUUACUUGUCUCAUUCAAGUUGGAGAAGAUUUGAUGGAGUUCUAAAACUUGUUAAUGAAAGAAAUGAUGUUCUUGAGUUUUGUUUAUGUAAGAAAUGAUGUUUUCGAUCUUGAUUUAGUUGAGAAAUAAAGUGUCGUAAAUGGAAAAAGAUGUUUAGAGGUAAAAGAAGAAGUUCGUCUAAGUUGGAAGUUCAUCUAAAUUUUAGGUUUAACGCGGAUCAUUAAUGGUAGUGUCUUCAACAUUGAUACUUGUCAUACACCAAUCUUGUCCGACCUCUUAUAUUAUUUUCAUCAAUUUAGACUUAUAUGUUGUAUUGCAUUUCAUGUCUCAUAUGCAUUAGGUAUAAUCAUUUGGUCUUGCAUCCUUCCAAUAAUAAGUUCAUCAUUUGGGUUUUAUUUGGUCUUUGGCCAUGGUUAUCCAGAGUUAGACUUUGAGUUUUGGGGUUGUGUGUAAUGGAUUCUCAUUUCUUGGUUUGCACUUAGUCAUAUUUUGAGUUUAGUGGAAAUCCUCAUUUGAAUAGAUCCUGACUUGUGCUUAAAUUGCAAUGUUAAGCCAUGAUUUGAAUGCUCCUUAUAUCCCAAAACAUUGUUCGUCACAUUAUUAUGUAAUUAGGUUUGAACUGGUUCAACGUAUGACGUGAUUCAUGCUAGCCUUUAUUACAAGUCUUGAUGAAUCUAAUCCGAGUCCAAUGGAGCUUUGUUAUUAUGAACAAAGUUAAUGCAUACCUGAUUUGUCAUGAUCUUUGGAAAGAAAGCCUAAGUUUUUUACUCUCGUGAGCCGAGGACAUGAAGGUUUGAGUGUGCCUUUAAAGUGAAAAGUGAAAACUGUAUGGAUUUGUGGGAAUUAAUAUUCAGGCACCAAAAUUAUCCUCUUAGAAUACAGGUUACCAAGUUUCAUACAUACCAAGAAGUUUGUUUUUCAUGUCAUGGAAAUUCAAAGUUUACAAAACACUUAGAUAAUUUUGAAGCAAGGCAAUCACACACCAAAAGUUCCAAGGACAAGUUACACAAACGUUGUUAUUACAUGCCAAAGUUACAUAACACAAAGAAAGAUCUUACAAAAGGUGUAAAAUUACUAAAGUCUAGCAUGGCAUCGUUCAUAAUUCAAAAAGUGCAUUUACAAGUCAGAAUCCUACACAUUACAAUGAGACACCUCAGUUAAGGCUAUCCAUUAUGAUGAAGAAACCUUUAAUACACUAAUUUAAGUGGUUUUGAAUCUUGCUUUGACCCGUCGGAUACCACAUCAAUAAACAAUAAAUAAACUUUGAAACAUCACUGAUGGAUCUCCUUUACAAUAGUACACAAUGAUUAAUUAGAGAAGCCAGUAGUUAAAGGCCAUGAACGUACUCAUAUUCGUAUCAAUACUCAAAGACUAAAACGCUAAAUAUAAACGAUUCUCAAAUAAAUGCAUAUAAGGAGUAAAGUUUCAAAUGCAUACAAUGAGAUUUCUUUACCAGCCGUAAAUCUAAAUAAAAAGUGGGAUCACAAUUGAAAUGAAAAAGGAAAACCCGAAAGGGCAAUCCAAGCAAAAAAAUGUAUCCCGAUGGACUGAAAACCCGAAAGGGCGAUCUAGGAAAAACUUAGGGAUUAAUUCAAAGGAAAAGACUGCAAUCUAUGAAUCCAUGUUAUCCAUGGAAAUCUCCAGAAGAGAAGGAUCAAUCCAGUCGUCGUCCUCCAAAGCAAGGUGUUCGGACCCUCAGAGACAUAAAGAUUAUAGCAGUAUUUAAAACCAAUGGAGAUUCAAUUUUCAUUGCCAUUGUACUUUUUUUUGCACAACAAUUACCUCAUUAAGGAAUUGCAUGUUUAUGUACAAUUGCCCAUUCAAGGGUGAAAUCAAUGAAAAGAGAACUUUUCUCAUCAAAUUAUGCCCAAUUGUUUUUACUUUAUCUGCUUGUUGGCAAAAUGUAUUUAUUGUUGAUAAACAUUGUUUUAAAACUUUGGUUAUUAACGAAAACAUUUGAAAAGAACAAUAAAUUUUCUUUUGAGAUGUUGAACGGGAGACUCACCGUUCCAAAUAAUGCCCUCAUUGCAUAAAGAAAUAAGGUCAUUUACAGGUCGCCAUGAUCAUUACAUCACAAACAAUUCCAUUCCCUCUAGAAUAUGCUUAUAUACAACCUAUCAUAGUCAAAACUCCAGGAAAGUCAGCAGAGGCAUUCAUGAUACACCACUGAGCGUCGCAUCGCUAAAGUAUCGAGUGUUGAAAAGUCAGAUCAUCUCAAUAGCCAAAAAUCCAAAUCAUAUGUCCAACUACUAGAAAAAAACAAAGUCCAAUCUCUAUUGGUCUCCUAAAAAACAAAAAAAGUUGCAUCGUUGGCGUCAUCAUAAACUCGAAUCUAGUUAACAUUGGCAUCUGGGAAACUCUUUCCUUCAAAAGGGAGACCAACUCCAACAUACCCAAUCAAUCAUCUACCAUAUUAUGUUCAUAACAUAUAUUACAUGCAUAACUCUCCCACCUAAAAUGGGAAUGUGCAUGAGAAUAAAGAGUUAUUGUGCACCUUAUACAAGCAUAUGGUUCCUACCAAACACAAUCAUAUCAACCAUCAACAUACAUAUCCAUAGAAUUUUCACCAAAGCAUGAAGCUUCAUCAGUAAUAAAUAAAAUCAGUCGCAUUCCUACAUGCAUAUCCAAAAAUCCUCAGCAAAUGUAUACUUGCAUACAUCUCAUAUACCAUUCCAUGCAGGAUACUUCCAUCUAAAGUGGUUAUAGAGGUUGACUGAUUGUACUUGAUUGUACAUCCCUCAUGUAUCUUUUGAUGCAUAGAGGUUGAUUGAUUGUACUUGAUUGUAUAUCAAGUUAUUAUUCUAACUCAUGAGCUUUUAAGCAAAGAGUUGAUUAUUAUUCUUGGUUGAAGCUUUUAAGCAAAACCAAGUAUUGUUUAUUGGAAGUGUAAUCUUCUAUUUUAGGUUAUUGUCACUGGUUUGUGGCUUAGGAUAUCACUGUGGUGAUUGAAAGUGAGAGGGGGAUUCUCAUAUCUAGAAUGGUUCUAGGUAGAAAUUGCAUGGGUAAUGAUUAGGCGAUAAGUUGUAAACUGGGAUUGUUUAGGCUUUGAACUAAUAUUAUUAGUGGAUUUCCUUCCUGGCUUGGUAGCUCCCAGAUUUAGGUGACGUUACACCGAACUAGGUUAACAAUUUAUUGUGUCUUUUACCUUCUGCAAUUUAAUUCUGCAUAACUACUAUUUUGGUAAAAGUGUUUUUGCCAGUAGAUGAUGUCUUAACAUCUGUCUUGACAUUGUGUUGUGUGUUGGGACACCAAUCUUAACAUUUGUGUUUAAGUUCCAGAAUUUCAAUUGGUAUCAGAGCAGGCAUCUUGCUCUGUUUCAGGGUGAGAUCUGGGGAAAAUACUUUUUGGUACCAUGGAAGGAGGAUUUGUUAACAGACUACCCAUCUUAUAUGACAUUAAAUAUGACUAUUGGAAGACACGUAUGGUGGCAUUCCUAAAAUUUAUGGAGAGCAAGACUUGGAAAGAUGUCAUCAAAGGUUGAGAACAUCAUGUUGUGAAGGACAAAGAUGGGAAAGCUAUUACUGACUUGAAUCCUGAAAAAGGAUUGGUCUAAGGAAGAAGAAGACCUGGCCCUUGGAAACUCCAAAGCUUUGAAUGCUCUAUUCAACCAAGUUGGCAAAAACAUAUUCAGGUUAAUAAACACUUUUAUUGUGACCAAAGAUGCAUGAGAAAUUCUCAUAACCACCCAUGAAGGCACAUCUAAAGUGAAAAUGUUUAGACUUCAGCUUCUCACUACUAGAUUUGAGAAUCUUAAGAUAAAAGAUGAUGAGUGUAUUCAUCAUUUUCACUUGAAUGUUCUUGAAAUUUCGAAUUCAUCUAGUGCCUUGGGAGAGAAGAUAUCCGAAUAAAAGCUGGUUAGAAAUAUUCUCAGGUCUCUACCUAAGAAGUUUUACAUGAAGGUCACAACCAUUGAAGAAGCCCAAGACAUCAGCACCAUGAAAGUAGAUGAACUUGUUGGGUCACUCCAAAGUUACAUAAUACAAAGAAAGAUCUUACAAAAGGUGGAAAAUUACUAAAGUCUAUCAUGGCAUCAUUCAUAAUUCAGAAAGUGCAUUUAUAAGUCAGAAUCCUAAAUAAUAUAAUGAGAGACCUUAAUUAAGGUUAUCCAUUCUGAUGAAGAAACUUUUAAUACAUUAAUUUAGAUGGUUUUGAAUCUUGCUUUAACCCGUCGGAUACUUGGUGCAAUCCUUGGCAUCCCCAAUUUAUGCCUGCAAAAACGCCAACGGAUAUCACAUCAUUAAAAAAUAAAUAAACUUUGAAACAUCACCAAUGGAACUCUUUACAAAAUUACACAAGGAUUAAUCAGGGAAGCCAAAAGUUAAAGUCCAUGGCCGUACUCAUAUUCGUAUCAAUAAUCAAAGACUAAAAGGCUAUAUACAUACGAUUCUCUAAUAAACGCAUACAAGAAGUAAAGUUUCAAAUGCGUACAUCGAGAUUUCCUUACCAACAGUAAAUCUAAGUCAAGAGUGGGACCACAAUUGAAAUGAAAAAGGGAAAAAACGUACAAGCAAGUAGGAUUUCACACAAAAUGUACAAGCAAUUGAAAUGAAAAUUUGUUGCUUAUGAUAAUUUUACUUAUGAUAAUUUUACUUAUGAUAAUUUUGGUCUAAAAUUAGUAAUAGAAAAUAAUUCUGGAAAAUCAUCUUCCUUCAUCAUUUAUUUAUUUGGUUUUAUUUACUUAUUUAUUUUGUUUUUACACAUAAAAUAAAUUAAAACAUAUUAACAUUAAAUAAAUAAAUAAAUAUUUACUUAAUUUCCAUAGACAUUUAAAAAUCUUUGGUCCAACGCCGAGCGGACUUUCUGAAAACCUUGGUUCAACGUCAAGUGUGUCUUUCCCAAUCCAAUUAAAUCAUUCUUAAUUCAAUUUUAAAACCUUUUCCCGAUUAAAAUAUAACAUUAAACUAUUUUCUUAAUCAAAUACGAAAGAAAUGGAUCAUUGGAGUCUCGCAUUCCUUGAACCCUUGAAUGAUUGCUCUUGAGGCAUGCCUCUUGGUUUUCUUUUCGUUCACUCUUUCAUUUGUAAACACUUAAACUAAAUACUUAGACGAAAGGAGAGGCCAUUGGAGUCUAGCAUUCUGGUGGAAUCUUUGAACAAUCUUUUGAAGGUUCAUCGUCCAUCAAAUAAUUCCAUAACUAAUUGAAUGAAAAAUGUGUUAUUGGAGUCUAGCAUUCCGAAAAUAUCCCGAAUAAUUGGUUCCAAGGCUCAUGUCUUGUUCUUACCACAUAUUCGCCAUUCACCUUUAGAAAAAUACUCAACACAUCCUUCAUCAAUCAAACCUGUCCUUUCGUGCCCUGUGUGAUUGAAAGUUUUUUGUAAGUGAACAUUUAACUAAUCCUUCCUAACGCGUUCGAACUUACGCUAAAGCCUCCGCCGCGAGUAAGAAAGUCAUGUUUUACCGUUAAAAUGCGAUCUAGAUACACGUUAAAAUCAAUACACCGUUAAUUUGUCAAAAUCAUUUCAAAAAAGAGUGAUGUUUAAUCCUUUCUAAUGCAUAUACAAACUAGCUUUUAAGUCUCCACCACGAGCAUGCAAACCCACGUUUAGCCGUUAGAAUUUGAUCCAAGUAUUCACUCAUUAAAACAAAUCAACAAACAAACCGUAGUCCCCGAACUACGAAUGCUCUGAUUUUCCUAUUUGCACCAUAAUGAUACCUAGGCACGAGAUUGAUAGAUCUUGGAGAGCACACUAAUAAAAAAACCAUUUUCCCCUUUUGAGGUUUCAUUCCUUUUCUUUUUUCAAUAUUUUAUUCACUCAAAGAAAAUAAAUAACAUUAGAUAACAUUCAAAUCACAAAUUUAACUAAAAGGUUCUCGUUGAGUGCAACGGGCGUGAGGGUAUAUAGCGGUAAAUUCAUGACCAUUAAGCUAUGGAUAAACUUAACGUCAAUAAAACUAGAGUCGUCACCGCGCUUUUAUUGUUUCCAAAGGAAAAGGGAAAAGUACGAAAAAAACCCAAAGAUAAGAAGUUUUCAAAUCAAAACUAAUAAAAUGCCAGAGAUUACAGGUAAGGGGGUUGGUUACACAAAGGGAAGGUGUUAGCACCCAAAGUGUCUUAGGUACUUAUAGUGAGCCCUUUUUUAUGUGUGUAUGUGUUUUGGUAUAAAAGAUGUUUGAGAAAAAUAGAAUUUGGGGAUGAGAAAAGAAUUCAUUGAUUACAUUUUUGUGUUUGACAAGACCUUCGGACUUGUGCCUACGUACCAACAUAAAAAUGAGGGAUCAAAACCUCGUAGUUCGUGGUAACAAUUUCAAAAUGAGUUGAUUACUUUUAAUUAAAAGUUAAGUUUAAAAGAGGCACAAAAGGCCCAAAAGUUUGAAUGAGUGUUAGUUCUUUUUGUCUUUUGAAACUUUAAGUCAAUAUGGUUAAGUUCAUUUACAAAUUUGAUUAAGAAAAGAGUUUUAAAAUGCAAUGGCAUAAGGCCAAAGUUUUUAAUUUGAAAUAGGGUCUAAGUUUUGAAAUCACAAGCAAGAAGGUUUUUGAAAAGGGGGAGAGAUUUUGAAUUUUAAGAAGUGAGAGGAGAUGAAGAUACUAAUCCUAAGCAUAAAAUUAAAAGUUAAGAGUUGAAAAGAUCUGACCAAUGGGAUGUAAUCCAACAUACAAGAAUGUCAUAUAGAAAACCCAUUUUCCCUUUGGACUUUUGAAUCAAGCCAUAGUCAGUAAGCAAUUAGCAAUAUGAAGAGCAAGACAUCAAAUAAAGAUGACCACAUCCAAGCAAGCAACUUCAAAGCUAACAGUUUUCUUUAUCUUCUCAAGUAUCAAAUGACAUACUCCUUGGCUUUACUCAGAAUGAGACAUUAGACAUGAGAUCAAAGUAACAGUUGCAUCAAAACCAUAUAGCAAACGAAUUCACGUGGAUCCCAAUACUAGCAUCAGAUGGAAUCUCAAAUCACAAUAACUUGGUCUCAGAAAUGUUGGCAUUGGCCAAGUCCUUUUGCUCAUGGAAUGUUGCCUAAUUCUAAGUUCAAAAGUUCAGAUCAAACCCAACAGUCCAAACAAACAUUUUUUUAGGGUUUUUGUUGUUUAUUAAGUAUUUUAAGGUUCUAAGACCACAAACACAAACAAAAUAUACAAACAAAUACAUACAAUCACAAUAUAUGGCUCAAAUGAGCAAAGUGAAAAUGACAUAAACAUAAACAAGUUAAAUGAUAUGUAAAUGACAAAUGAAAUGGUAAAUGACUUGAAUUUAAAUUGUAUAAAGUAAAUGACUUGAAAAAUAAAAGCAAUAUUAAUACAAGUUAAUCAAAUGUUAGUUGAUUAGAUGUUAGUGAUGUUUUGUUUUCUAAUUGAUUAAGUCAUUCUUUGGAGAACACUCAACCCUCUAUUCACAAGCAUGUAUCCUUGAACUAAGUCAUCUUCCAAAGGAAGGAAAAAAGACAAAGUUUCCACAUAAUACCAUGAAAAAGGGAGACUUACAAUCUCACUUACUAGAAUGAUAUACCUUUAGGGUCAAAUUUAGCUCUAUGUUAAGCAAUCAUAAUUGGACUUAUGUAGAAGUCACAACUAUCUAAGGCUGGACAAUAAAAAUUUAAGUGCGAAUGCAUGUUAGAGAUUUGGAAUGAUGAACCAAACUCCUAAAACAUACCACACACUAAAAGAAAAGAUCAAAAGGAUGGACCUAUCUCAUCCAUACUUGUAUUGGUUCAUCUAACACAAGGUUAUUGAUGAACCAAUUACCUUAUAAUUGAGAAUUCAUUGGUCAUUAAAGGAUGGGAGAGAAUGAGAUUGAAGAUGAAGAGGAGGAGAUGAGAGAAACACAAAUUAGUCAUGGGAGGAAUUUUAUCAAAUUAAAAUCAUUCAUUCAUUUUGGGAGAUGAAAUGUACAUUUCAUCAAUCCCCUAAAUCCAAUGAUUUUAACUCAACAAAAGUCAAAUCAACCUUGACCAAGGCCCAAACACAUAGUCAAACAUCACAAGUCAAUAAAAAUUGCUCAACAUAAUUUCUAUACAAUUAAUCAAUUAAAAAUCAAAUUAAAAAUGCAUUUAAAUUAAAUUUAGUUUGGUAAAAACCUAAAAUCUCUUCAAAACACCAAAUAAAUAGUCAAGAGAUUUAUCCUAGGUCAAACAAGGUCAAAGGACCUUAGAAAAAAAAUUCAUAAUUUUUGAAAACUCAGAAGUAUUUUUAAACAAUUAAAAAUAUGCACAAAAACAAUUAAUUCAUGAAAAAUAUCAAAAUUAAUCCAAAAAAUAAUUUUAAUUCAGAAAAUGAAAAAGGAAAAUAUUUAAAGAUUUUUUGUGAAAGUCCCAUAUUUUUUGGAUUAAAAAUGAAAUUAAUAUGAAUUAAUCAAAAUAAAUGGAUUAAAUGAAAAAUCAGAAAAUAUGAAAAAUCAGGGGCCAUCAGAUCUCCCUCAUUAAUUGAGGUGGCAGAUCUGAUGGCCACGCGCGUGCUAUCCAUGGUGGACUUGAGUUCAAGCGCCACACACGUGGUAAUCAAAAGCAAGGAUCCUGAUUAAAACGUGGAACCAAGCACACCACCUGAGCCCUAACUCCGGUCAUCUUCUCCGAUGAUCACUAUCGGUCUGGUUCAAGCUCAACUUCAUGAACAAUGAAAAGUGAAUACACUAAUUUGAAGGAAAAAUGCUCAGGAACACGACUCUGGCCUCAUUUUUCUCCAAUUCCAAGUAUAUAAACGCCUAUAAAAACCUGCAUGACCAAGAAAAGAACGAAUCUCGCGAACGCAAGAAGGGUAAGGCAGUGUAGAAAUCACAUCUAUUUUAGCAGGGCCAACAAAAAUUCCUUUUUCUGAAAUCAUGUGACCCAAUACAAUUCCCUGAUCAACCAUAAAGUGGCAUUUUUCAUAAUUUAAAACGAGAUCAGUUUCGAUGCAUCUUUCUAAAAUCAAGCUUAAACUGCUCAAGCAUGCAUCAAAAAGAGAACCAUAGACAGUGAAAUUGUCCAUAAAGACUUCCAUGCAAUUUUCAAUGAAAUCAGAAAAAAUGCUAAUCAUGCAUCGCUGGAAAGAACCAGGAGCAUUGCAAAGACCAAAAGGCAUCCUCCUGUAAGCAAAGUACCGAAAGACAAGUAAAAGUGGUCUUCUCUUGACUUUCCGGUGCAAUAUGAAUAUGAAAGUAACCUGAAAACCAUCAAGAAAACAAUAAUGUGAUUUACCAGCAAGCCGUUCAAGAAUUUGGUCAAUGAACGGUAAAGGAAAGUGAUCCUUUCUCGUAGCCUGUUCAAUCUCCUAUAAUCAAUACAAACUUCCAGUUGUUCUGAACUCUAGUGGGAACAAGUUCAUUCUUUUCAUUUUUACCACUGUGAGUCCUGAUUUCUUAGGUACAACCUGCACUGGGCUUACCCAUUUACUGUCAGAGAUAGGAUAAAUGACACCUGCUUGCAAGAGUUUGGUUACCUCCUUCUUCACAACAUCAAGAAUCAAAGGAUUAAGCCUCCUUUGGGGUUGCCCUACUGUUUUCGCUCCGUCCUCAAGUAAUAUCUUGUGCAUGCACAUCAACGGGCUAAUACCUGGGAGGUUGGCUAAUGUCCACCCGAUUGCCUUCUUGUGCUUCUUUAAAACCUGCAAAAGCUUGUCUUCCUAAUCGAAAUCAAGGUUAGAAGAAAUAAUAACAGGGAGUUUUUCAUUAGUCUCAAAUAAGCGUAUUUCAGGUUUUCAGGGAGUUGUUUCAGCUCUAAAGACGGGGGUUGCUCGAUCAGUGGAAUGCUUGGGGCAGCCGGGUUGUCAAGAGCAUCAACUGCAAAAACAGCUUCAUCGGAAACAACUUCACCUAUAGGAAAUGUAUCAGGCUGCAGGCAACAUCAAUCUCAGCACACACAAUACAAAGGUUACUGUCAGUAUAAUCAACACAUGAGUAAAUAUCAUCAAAACCAGAUAAAGAUGGAAAAUCAAGUGAAAAUAAAUCAGAACAAGUGUCCUCAACCAGCUCAGAUAUCAAUUCCAUAUGAAAAUCGGAAUGCUCUUCCAAGGGGUGUUUCAUGGCAUCGAAAAUGUUAAAUUUUGCGACAAUGUCACCAAAUUCCAUGGACAUGGUUCCAUCGUCAACAUCAAUUUUUGUCUUCGCCGUUUUCAUGAACGGAAGGGGUGUUUCAUGGCAUCGAAAAUGUUAAAUUUUGCGACAAUGUCACCAAAUUCCAUGGACAUGGUUCCAUCGUCAACAUCAAUUUUUGUCUUCGCCGUUUUCAUGAACGGUCUGCCUAAAAUGAUGCGAGCUCUGCUUGUCUUAGUCUCUCCUUCCAUGUCUAGAAUGUAAAAAUCUACAAGAAAAAUUAAAUCGUUAACUUGGACAAGGACAUCUUCCACUACGCCAGUCGGGCGUGCAUUGCUCCUGUUCGCCAGUUGGACGAUCAAACCUGUAUACUGCAAAGGACCAAGAUUAAGGUUAUUAUAAAUAGAAGUGGGCAUAACAUUAAUGCCCUCUCCGAAAUCAAGCAUGCAAUUCUCGAAUUUACUAUCCCCGAUGGUACAAGGGACAGUAAAAGUUCCCGGAUCCUUCUGCUUUUGUGUCAAGAGCUGAGUGAUGGCUGAAACAUUUUUCUCGCCUGUAACUUUUUCAGAUGAAGGCUUGGGCUGAAUAAAAGCAGAAAUAUUUCUUCCCAAGUUAACUCUCUCACUUCCUUUAAUCCUCCUGUAUUGAUACACAAUCCGUUCAGAACUUGCAUACUUAGGAACUUGCUUUAUUACAUCUAAAGAGCGGAUAUUUACGCAACUUUUCUAAAAACAUCCAAUAUCUCUCUUUCCUUGUCUCCCUCCUCAAUUCUUUUAUUUUUCAGAACUCUAUGUGGGAAGGGGACUGGUGGCACAUACUCUUUUUCUUUAAUUUUUUCAGAUGAAACAGGUUCAGAUGGAGUAGGUUCAAGUUCAGAUGUUACCUCAAUAAUUUUUUUAUUUUUUUCAGGGGCUGUUUCUGUAACCUUUCCAGAUCUCAACAAAAUCGCACUCACAUUAGCAUUAGAAUCCUUUGGAUUGACAACUAUUUGGGCUGGAAGCUGGUUCGACCCUUCUUGGGCUUGCAUGUUAUUUAUUUGAAUAGAAAGUUGUCCCAUUUGUGUGUUCAAGGUCUGAAUGCUAGAAUCGGUCCUUUGUUAGAAUUGGAGAUUGUUGGCGGCCAUUUGUUUGACAAGAUCUUCUAAGGAUGGUCCAAAAAGUGCAGGGGCAGCCACUUGAGGUGGGUUCUGUUGUGGGUUUCCAUAUCGAAGGUUGGGAUGGUUCCUCCAAUUGGGAUGGUAUUUGUUGGUAAACAGGUCAGGAGUAUUAUUGUACCUGUUUUGAUUGUAAAGGUUGGCUGCAUAAGCUUGAGGCAGCUCAGUAAUGGACUCGUCUCUCAGAAUAGGACAAGUAUCGGUCGGGUGCUCAUGAGAAGUACAAAUUACCACACACUGUUGUUGUUUAAGGUUUUGCUACUGCCAGCUGUUUGACUAAGGCAAUGAGCUCGUCAAUUCUGGUCUCUAAAGCUUUGUUGGAAGAAACCUGAAUUUGAUCACGCCUUUGCUUUGCACAGAAUUUUCUCUAGUAGUGAACUGUUGGGAAUUAAGGGACAUAUUUUUGAUAAGGCCUUUGGCAACAGUUUGGAGUCUUAUCAACAAGUGCUCCACCACUAGCAGCAUCAAGAAUGUUCCUAUCCAUCGGUAUCAAACCCUCAUAAAAGUACUGGAUGAGUAGUUGCUCGGUGAUCUGGUGCUGAGGGCAGCUGGAUAUCAAGUGUUUGAAUCUCUCCAAUACUCGGUCAAUGACUCAUUACUCUGUCUAAUACCACAAAUCUCCUUUCUUAUCGAGGCAGCUCUGGAGGCAGAAAAAUAUCUCUCUAAGAACACUUUUUUCAGGGCAUUCCAGCUUGCAAUUGAAUUUGGCUCGAGAUAAUAUAUCCAAUCCUUUGCUGCACCCUACAAUGAAAAAGGAAACGCUCGAAGUUUGAUGUGAUCUUCAGUGAUCCCUUCAGGCUUCAAUGGUGUAGAACACACCACCUGGAAUUCUUUCAAAUGUUUGUGCGGAUCCUCACCUACAAGACCACUAAACUUGGGCAACAAGUGUAUUAAACCCGAUUUUAAUUUAAAAGGAACAGCAACAACAUCAUAUUCAAUACACAAGCCAUUAUAAUUCACAUCAGGUGCAUCCAAUUGCCUUAAGUUUCUAUUGUCAUCCAUUUCAAAAACAAGUUCAGAAUCAGAAGCAAACAAGUUAUGCAAAUAGUCGGACUCAGAAUCAGACUCAAUUGUGGAUGAUGAACUAGCCUGGACUGCUCUACGUUGUGUGUGCAAAGUUCUCUCUACUUCAAGAUCAAAAGCAACAAGUUCAGAACAACGAGACCUAGUAGUCAAGACUAACGCACAGCAAUGCAGCAACAAUAUUCAAAAUACUGACAAUGUCCCUAAAAGUCAAAAACAAACACAAAGAAGGGAAUUGAUCAAAAUAAAUUCAGAAAAAUAAAGUGACACCGAAUUUAAUCUAAUGACUUUAAAAUAUAAUUUUGAGAAUUUUUUUGAUUUUUUUCGACUCUAUGAAAACAGUAAACAAUUCAUAAAAAAUGAUCAGAGAAUUUUUUUACACAAGACUGUCGGAACAGAUUUUCAAUCGACGCAAUUUUCCCAAAUACCGAUUUUUUCACUUUUUGGACUCUAAAACGCGAGUUGGGCAAAACCGUGAGGAAACUAGGACCUAGACGCGUAGACACUAAACAUAUGACUCUUAAAACGAUUAAUAUAAUCAAGAAUCUCCGGCAACGGCGCCAAUUUGAUUCGCUGUCGCACGCGGGUCAAAACGAGUGUUUUUCAAAAAUGUAGUAUGGCGACAAUUUUAACUCGGAUAUCAUUCUCACAAGGAUUCUUGAUUAUUAUUAUCCAAAGGUAAAUCGAAUUAAGGGGGGGGUUGUUUGGUUUGGUGUUCGAUUAAGAAAAAGUGAUUAUUAAAAGCAAUUCUUGAAAUAAGCUGUUAUGAAAUAAGUAAGUAUGAAAUAAUUCAAUCUACCGAUUCAGUUCCUACUAUCAUCGAUUAAUAUAAUUUUAAUACCCUAAGAGGAUUGUCUAUUCCUAUUUGGAUACAAACUCAAUGACAAGCGCGGUGAAGUUUGUGAGAUGUAUGAUCCUAUUGUCCGAAUUAAGCAAACGUGAUAAGUUUUCAUGGAUUAAGCAAACAUGAUUGAUCAGACACAAAAACGAAUUAAGCAAACGUGACGUGCCUAUGUUAGGAUCAUACCAUCAACCAAAUUGAAUCAAUAUAUUUCAUGCAAUCGAAUUAAGCAUACAAGAACACAAAAUAUCAUUGAAAAGAAUUAAACUAAAAUUAACAUUAUAAUAAUCUCAAGUUUUGGAACCUGAAUUACGGCGGAUCGAAUCAGAGGGAUUAGUUCUCCAUGGAAUUCCUACAAGCCUUCAAAUUUUCUUGAAUAGUGAUCCCGUGUACUCUGUUCGGCUGCUUAGGUUAUAGGAAAAGUAGAAUAAACCUAAUUUGGUCAAAACAUAACCCAGGCCCAAACUAAAUAACUCAACACAAAAAUAUAAAUCUAGUGCUGAAGGCUUCAACGGAUUUUCCAACCAUGCUACAGUCCGAAUUAGCUCCUGACUUCUUCCUGAAAGUCAUAACUCUUUCUCUUAGCUUUCCAACGACUGGUAGCACGCCUCGGUGCGAUACUCCUAGCUCCAAUUAUAAAUUUAUUCGUGCAGACUGCUAAUGCUGAAAAUAAACUGCAAAAAAAAAAAAUAAGUGUAAAAAUAAGAUAAAUUAUAAAAACACAUUAAAAGGGAAAAAUAACCAAACUAAAACAUGGAAAUACAUAAGUAUAAAUAUAGAAGAAUGUGCAUCAAAAUGCACCGAUCAUUGGGCUACUUGGGAAAUUUGGAUUUUCGACAUUUUAUUAUGGGUAGCCAUAGCAUCAAGCUUACUUGUCAUUUGCUUCAUCAGUUUGCUAGUAUGAGCAUUUCGAUUUGUGAAAUCCUUGUUUUGUUGAGUUCGAGCAUUCAUAUAGUUUUCCAUAAUGAUCUCUAUAUUUGACUUUCGAGGUGCUUGUGGAGAAGCACGUGUCAUUUUUUAUAACCAGGUGGAAUAACAGGUGCUAGCUUUGGCAAAAAUAAAGCAUUAUUAUUUUUAUAAGAAAAGUUUGGAUGAUUUCUUCAACCAGGAUUGUAAGUUUUGGAAUAUGGGUUUCCUUGAGCGUAAUUUACUUGGUCGGUAUGAAUAUCAUCCAAUAACUGACAACCAAUAUUAGUAUGCCCAGAGGUUCCACACAAUUCACAGUUUAGUGUUAUAGCAGCUAUGGUAGCUGCUGGUGUUAUGGCUAAGCUUUCGAUCUUUUGAGUAAGUCCAUCCACUUUAGCAUUGGCGCGGUCUAUGCCACUCACUUCGUACAUUUCGCCUUUUGGAGUUGGUUUUUCUACAACAACACAUUCAGCUCCCCAUUGGAAAUAAUUUUGAGCCAUGUUCUCGAUGAGUUCGUAGGCUUCAUCGUAAGGUUUGUCCAUCAAAGUACCGCUAGCUGCAGCGCUCAAAUUCAUUUUAGUGUUGUGCAAAAGACCAUUGUAGAAAGUAUGGAUAAUCAGUCAUUGCUCAAGUCCAUGGUGUGGACAAAGUCUCAUCAUGUCCUUGUAUCUUUCACAAGUGUCAAAAAGAUAUUCGUUGUCUUUUUUCUUAAUUCUGUUAAUUUAAGCUCUUAGCAUAGUCGUCUUACUUGAUGGGAAAUAUCGGGCUGAAAAGACUUUCUUCAACUCGUCCCAUGUGGUCACAGAUUUGAAGGUACAUACUGGAGCCAAGCUCUAGCUCUAUCUCUUAAGGAAAAAGGGAAAAGAUGUAGUCUAAUCGCUUAGGGACUAAUACCAUUUGCUUUCACUGUGUCUGCGUACUGCACAAACACUGACAAAUGUAAGUUUGGAUCGUAUGUAGGACUACCUGAAAAUUGGUUUUGUUGAACGGAUGUUAACAGCGAAGGUUUCAACCCGAAAUCGUUUUGAUUGAUGGCAGGAGCAUCAAUGAUGUUGUGUGGUUCCUCCUGUGAAGGAACAACAUAAUACUUAAGAGGACGGUUUUGUGGUCCUUCAACCACUACUGGUUGAGAUUCUGAUUUUUGUUUUGGAAAAGGAAGAUUGUACUUAAUUCAGAAAUUAUGAACUCAGCAUUGUAAAUUAAUAAAAUGCUUGACUUCGUCAACUGGUUGUUCUAGCUCUUCGCUUUUUGAGCGAGUGCUUGGCAUAUAAUUGACGGUUUAGAAGGGUAAAUAAAAUAAAAUUUGCCUUAGUCUAUACUGCGCAACAACAUAAUCACAAUAUUGAAUAAAUUAGUCCCUGACAACGGCGCCAAACACUUGAUCGCGACAGACAUGUCUGU
rnacentral:lncRNA from 1 species